rnacentral:rRNA from 1 species
AGUGAACGCUGGCGGUAGGCCUAACACAUGCCAGUCGAACGGCAGCACAGUAAGAGCUUGCUCUUACGGGUGGCGAGUGGCGGACGGGUGAGGAAUACAUCGGAAUCUACUUUUUCGUGGGGGAUAACGUAGGGAAACUUACGCUAAUACCGCAUACGACCUACGGGUGAAAGCAGGGGAUCUUCGGACCUUGCGCGAUUGAAUGAGCCGAUGUCGGAUUAGCUAGUUGGCGGGGUAAAGGCCCACCAAGGCGACGAUCCGUAGCUGGUCUGAGAGGAUGAUCAGCCACACUGGAACUGAGACACGGUCCAGACUCCUACGGUAGGCAGCAGUGGGGAAUAUUGGACAAUGGGCGCAAGCCUGAUCCAGCCAUACCGCGUGGGUGAAGAAGGCCUUCGGGUUGUAAAGCCCUUUUGUUGGGAAAGAAAAGCAGCAGGUUAAUACCCCGCUGUUCCGACGGUACCCAAAGAAUAAGCACCGGCUAACUUCGUG